rnacentral:rRNA from 1 species
AACGAACGCUGGCGGCAUGCCUAACACAUGCAAGUCGAACGAGACCUUCGGGUCUAGUGGCGCACGGGUGCGUAACGCGUGGGAACCUGCCCUUAGGUUCGGAAUAACUCCCCGAAAGGGGUGCUAAUACCGGAUAAUGUCUUCGGACCAAAGAUUUAUCGCCUUUGGAUGGGCCCGCGUUGGAUUAGCUAGUUGGUAGGGUAAAAGCCUACCAAGGCGACGAUCCAUAGCUGGUCUGAGAGGAUGAUCAGCCACACUGGGACUGAGACACGGCCCAGACUCCUACGGGAGGCAGCAGUGGGGAAUAUGGGACAAUGGGCGAAAGCCUGAUCCAGCAAUGCCGCGUGAGUGAUGAAGGCCUUAGGGUUGUAAAGCUCUUUUACCCGGGAUGAUAAUGACAGUACCGGGAGAAUAAGCGCCGGCUAACUCCGUG